rnacentral:rRNA from 1 species
UACGUAGGGUGCGAGCGUUGUCCGGAAUUAUUGGGCGUAAAGGGCUCGUAGGCGGUCUGUUGCGUCUGCUGUGAAAACUCAGGGCUUAACCCUGAGCUUGCAGUGGGUACGGGCAGACUAGAGUGCGGUAGGGGAGACUGGAAUUCCUGGUGUAGCGGUGAAAUGCGCAGAUAUCAGGAGGAACACCGGUGGCGAAGGCGGGUCUCUGGGCCGUAACUGACGCUGAGGAGCGAAAGCAUGGGGAGCGAACAGG